ensembl:snRNA U6 U6 spliceosomal RNA
GUGCUUGCUUCGGCAGCACGUAUACUAAAAUUGGAACGACACAGAGAAGAUUAGCAUGGCCCCUGCGCAAGGUUGACUUGCAAAUUCGUGAAGCGUUCCAUAUUUUU